rnacentral:rRNA from 1 species
UACAGAGGUCCCAAGCGUUGUUCGGAUUCAUUGGGCGUAAAGGGUGCGUAGGCGGCGCGGUAAGUCGGGUGUGAAAUCUCCGGGCUUAACCCGGAAAGGUCAGCCGAUACUGCGGGGCUAGAGUGCAGAAGGGGCAACUGGAAUUCUCGGUGUAGCGGUGAAAUGCGUAGAUAUCGAGAGGAACACCUGCGGCGAAGGCGGGUUGCUGGGCUGACACUGACGCUGAGGCGCGAAAGCUAGGGAGCGAACGGG